rnacentral:tRNA from 1 species
CAUUAAGAAGCUAUGGAACAGCGCUAGCCUUUUAAGCUAGAAAAAGGGGGUGUAUUCCCCCCUUAAUGG